UCCAUGGCUGCUGCAUUGCACUGCUCCCUAGCACAGGCCUCAGAGCCAACUGCCAUGCCAACCCAGGGGCACACACCACAGGCUGGCUCCUGGGCUC